AGAACAAUGACUGUUCCUGUUGUCCCGUCUUUGACGGGAGGAGAAAGAAAAUGUACAUUUGCACGUCUUAGUUUUGACCUGUAGAAGCUGCCCAAUGGAUCACUCCCUAUACUACCAGUCAUAGCUACAUUGAAAGUAGGGCCUUUCAUGGGUCUAAUACCCAGCCUUGCCAAGGCCACCAGGCUGUUCGAAAGAGAUCCGCCAGCAGCCGCCUUAUAGCUGCGACCGUCCAUCGCUCGCAAUACUCUACCUCUUUCCUCAUGAUUUACAACCUUCCUUGUACCCUUCUCUAAUCCCAGUUUCCUCAGAAACUCAUCAUCUACCAUGCCAGAAAAAUCUACCAU
rnacentral:misc_RNA from 1 species